CCGGGCUCAUCGCCGCGGCUCAUCUCUCUCGCAACCGCCGCCGCACGCACCCGCUCCGCCGCCCCGCGCAGGGCAUCCUGUCGCCAGCGCAUCCCUCAGAGGAGUUUCAGCAUUUGGGGAUUUGAACGGCCCAUGACCAAUAUUGUGAAAGGACUUUUGUUUGCUGCAAUGAAAAGAAGACUCCUAUUUUUCAAUAAUGAAUUAACCUAAACAUGUAUUAAAAUAUGCUCAUGAAA
rnacentral:lncRNA from 1 species